UUCAUCCCUUCCCUUCCCUUUCUUUCCCCCUCCCUCCCUCUCUGGGUCCCUUUCCCAUUUACAAAUGAUCCACCUCCUUACCUCCUAUUACUUAUCUUUUAUUUUGCUCUUCAUUUAGAUUUUGGGAUAUUACUAUUAUUAUUAUUAUGAUUAUUUUCACAUUUAAGCAUCUAUGUAUUUAUUGCACUAAAUCAUCAAAGUUCACCAGAGUCUAAAACCACAGACAGCUUUUCUAGUUAAACAUUUGGUGUUUCUAAGACGCAUACAGAUUUGUUCCACUGUGAAAAGAACGGGGAGCUUCUUAUCAGUAAGUGUCUUCUUAUAGGAGGGCUCAGCUAAGGACCCCAGCACAUGACCUGACUUCCUUGGCGACAGGUCCAAACAGAACUUGGGGCCUUAUCACCAGGCACCACCGUCUAGUGACAACUGCCCCCCCAGUCAGUUGGCUGAAAACAGUCAGCAGCAAACAUGCUGUGCUGCUUUCCCAGGCCUCCUGGUUGCAGCCUCAGGUCCCCUCGCAGGGAAACCACUUGGCAAUGAGUGAGAGGAUGGUUCACUUGGCCCAGAAGCUUCAGGACCCUCGCCAGGAACCGUCCAACAGUCAUGGGCAGCACAGGGCAGGUCUCACCAGAUCAAGCCCAUAGAUGCCCAGAGACAAGAGAGAGCCCAGGACAAGUGUCCCUAGGUUCAGCCACCAGACACUUGGAGCCACUGAUAUCUGGACAGUUUGGAAAUCGGUCAACCAAGAGCUUGGCAGAGGUCUGCACAGUAAGCACGGUGCAGGCAGGGAUUCCUCACACUCCAGUGGAGACCCUGGGGCAGGACUUCCAGGAUAACAAGAGCAGGUGCACCUUUUCUAUCUUUGACUCCUCAAUGGAGCUGAAAUCCCAGGUGCAGCCCCAGGAUGAGCGUCUCCAGGACCACCUGGUGCCUCCUGCGUUCUCUGAUGAAGAGCCCCAGGCUCCAGCCCACGCUGAUGUCCCACCUGCAGAGCUCGUGCCAACUGCAACUGCAGCUCCCUCACCAGUUCUGACCCCACAACAAGAGCCAGGACCUGAAACCCCUUCUCCACCAGCUGCAGAGCUGCAACUCCUGGUGGCUCCACAGCAAGUGCUAUCUCUUGAGCUCUACUUGGGGUCAACCCUUGACCCAUACCUGGAAUUCCUCUCCCUUAUAGAUUUAGUUAUUAUUAUAUUUAUUGUUACUCUUAUUUUCCAGAGACAGGUCAAUGACAGAAUUAUUUAAAAUAAAAUUUAAGCUUUUAGUCUUGUUUAAAAUGAUCAACUUGCUGCAUUUUCAGUGCAUUCUCAUUCAUUUGCAAUGUUGCGCAACCUUCACCACUGUCCAGUUCCAAGACAUUUUCAAUACGCAAAGGUAUUUCCUCCCUUCUCCCCUGCUGCUAGAUCCACUCAUCUUAUGUCCUUGUAAUUAAUCUAUUCUACAUUUUUCACAAAACUGCAAUCAUAUUGGUCUUUGGCUGCAGAAUCUUGGAAGCUACUGUUCAAUCUUGCUUAUUGGAGGACAGGAAAAUCCCAGAUAGAUUCCCAUGAUUUCUCAUCACAAACUAAAUUAUGCAGUGUUUUUUCAGACAAGAGAUAAGUUUUGCAGUAAAAUACAGAAAGCACCAUAAGGAAAAACACAGAGAUAGUCAUCCUACAGAGGAACAGGGACCUCUCCCCCGGGUGCUCCUCCUUUGUGUCUUCAUCCUAGGGUUCAGGUGUGCAUCUCUCAGCUGCAGGAUGGGGAGUCUGGCAGAGCACAGCUCUCCUGUCAUCUCAUGUGUGUACUGGGGACAUGGCACAGUCAUCCUUCAUCCCUUGACAUUUUCAGUGCCUACACUGUGACAGUUGUCUCAGCAACUUUUGCUCUAGACUCUUUCCAAAUUUUCUCCCCCAUACCAGAGCUGAAGGAAGCAUCUGCAUCUGUCAUUUUUUUUCUCACCUUGCACAUUCAUUCUACUCCUUGACUCAUGGGAUAAAUUAGGUCGAUGUGAGGUACAAGAGCUCAUGCUGGAGCAAACCCAUCCUGAGCACAAAGGCUGAAGUUUCAAUUGUAGAAUCUUGAGAAAAAAGUGACUUCUUUAUGGAGGAAACUUGGCAACGUGUCUUACUUUGACUAUAAUUUACAUCUAUCCACAACAUGCUUGUGUGGCUUCCUGAUGUGUACAGCGGGCUCUGGCUUCCAGCUAAACAUGCUUUUAAGUGGAAGACUUGCCCGCCGGCUCAGGUCUGGGCACAUCUGUGUUGAUAAAGUACAGGUUGAGUUCUCUCCUACCUGAAGGAAACCAGGAAGGUUGGCAAUCUCAAGACAAUAAAAACACUGGUAUGUAUUCAAACCUUGCAUAAAUAACUUUUAAACAAUUUGUACAAAAAUGGUUCUGCAUAAUCAAACAAAAUGUGUCAGGAUGGCAGCAGAUGCGGCAUGUGGUCCACAUUAUGUUGACACCAAAACCCUCGACCUUGCAAGGACCUGGGUGUCCAAACAAAAACAACACCAAAGCAACCCCCAACCCCAAGCCCACGUGAGCCCUCCUCUCCUGACCGGAGCGUCUCCUCCCAAGGCUACCUGAGAAGUGGUCCGGAGAGCAGCGUGGUCACCACGCAGAGCAGAGCAGGCUCCCCUCACUCCCUGGCGAGGGGUGAGCCGUCGCUCCCUAGGCGAGACCUGCACACGGAAUUGCGGUCGCCUGCAGUCCCGGUCCAGAGUUCCAGUGGGAAACAAAGCCCUCCGUGGCUAUGACAUCUUUCCCUGCCACCACUCCCUGCCCUGCCCCGUAUUUACACACUUAUCCUUGGACUAACUCAGUUUUUGCAGGAGUUUUUCUUCGACUAGCCCUAACUGGACACUCACGGACAUCUCGACAAUAAACUGCUCACAGCCUUCCUUGGUGACUUGCUUCCAGUACCUUCGGUCAAUAUGGCAGAUGUUUGAAGUGUUUGAAGGAGGACAGGCACUGAUCAGUGACCUUAUUGCAGUCUGACAGGAUGAUCUCGGUCAGAGAGUCCCGGGUGGUGGCGCCAACCACAGCGAGCAGGUUGAUGGACUGGUCCGUGACGUGGUUACAAUAGCUGAGGUGCAGCUUGGAGAGCAGGGGCAUGUGGUGGAUGAUGAGUCAUGGGGAGGCAUCUGUGAUGUCCAGGCCUGCCAGACACAGCUCCACGAUGUUCCGGAGCUUACUCUGAUUGUCCAUCUGACCCAGCCUGUUAUCUGUGGGCGGGGACAUCUGGGCGUCCUUGAGCCCUUCUACCCACGGGACAGCCAGGGUCGGGAGCAGCAGACAACUGGAGCUACAGAGUGUGGAGACUGCAAUCCAGGAGCAGCUCGCCAGCAUCAAGUCUCGGAGCCCAGGCAGCCAGUUGAUGAGCCAGCUCAACUGCUUCUUAGAGAUGUUGGUCCAGCUGAGGU
rnacentral:lncRNA from 1 species